rnacentral:rRNA from 1 species
UACGAAGGGUGCGAGCGUUAAUCGGAAUUACUGGGCGUAAAGCGUGCGCAGGCGGUCUCGUAAGACAGGUGUGAAAUCCCCGGGCUCAACCUGGGAACUGCGCUUGUGACUGCGAGGCUAGAGUGCGGAAGAGGGAGGUGGGAUUCCACGUGUAGCAGUGAAAUGCGUAGAGAUGUGGAGGAACUCCGAUGGCGAAGGCAGCCUCCUGGGCCAGCACUGACGCUCAUGCACGAAAGCGUGGGGAGCAAACAGG